rnacentral:rRNA from 1 species
AGUAGUUUGAUCAUGGCUCAGGACGAACGCUGGCGGCGUGCCUAACACAUGCAAGUCGAGCGGGGACAUGCGACGGAUCGGAAGUUUUCGGAUGGAAGAGAAGAUGUAUGUUCUAGCGGCGGACGGGUGAGUAACGCGUGGGUAACCUGCCCUGUACAGGGGGAUAACAGUUAGAAAUGACUGCUAAUACCGCAUAAGCGCACAGUACCGCAUGGUACAGUGUGAAAAACUCCGGUGGUACAGGAUGGACCCGCGUCUGAUUAGCUAGUUGGCAGGGUAACGGCCUACCAAGGCAACGAUCAGUAGCCGACUUGAGAGAGUGAUCGGCCACAUUGGGACUGAGACACGGCCCAAACUCC